AUUGAACGCUGGCGGAAUGCUUUACACAUGCAAGUCGAACGGCAGCACGGGGCAACCUGGUGGCGAGUGGCGAACGGGUGAGUAAUACAUCGGAACGUGCCCAAUCGUGGGGGAUAACGUAGCGAAAGUUACGCUAAUACCGCAUACGAUCUACGGAUGAAAGCGGGGGAUCGCAAGACCUCGCGCGAGUGGAGCGGCCGAUGUCAGAUUAGGUAGUUGGUGGGGUAAAGGCUCACCAAGCCAACGAUCUGUAGCUGGUCUGAGAGGACGACCAGCCACACUGGAACUGAGACACGGUCCAGACUCCUACGGGAGGCAGCAGUGGGGAAUUUUGGGACAAUGGGCGCAAGCCUGAUCCAGCCAUUCCGCGUGCAGGAUGAAAGGCCUUCGGUUGUAAACUGCUUUGUACGGUAACGAAACGGACGAGCUCUAAUACAGUUUGCUAAUGACGGUACCGUAAGAAUAAGACACCGGCUAACUACGUGCCAGCAGCCGCGGUAA
rnacentral:rRNA from 1 species